rnacentral:rRNA from 1 species
CGCGGCCUAUCAGCUUGUUGGUGGGGUGAUGGCCUACCAAGGCUGCGACGGGUAGCCGGCCUGAGAGGGUGUCCGGCCACACUGGGACUGAGAUACGGCCCAGACUCCUACGGGAGGCAGCAGUGGGGAAUAUUGCACAAUGGGCGCAAGCCUGAUGCAGCGACGCCGCGUGGGGGAUGACGGCCUUCCGGUUGUAAACCUCUUUCACCAUCGACGAAGCCUUCGGGUGACGGUAGGUGGAGAAGAAGCACCGGCCAACUACGUGCCAGCAGCCGCGGUAAUACGUAGGGUGCGAGCGUUGUCCGGAAUUACUGGGCGUAAAGAGCUCGUGGGUGGUUUGUCGCGUUGUUCGUGAAAUGCCACAGCUUAACUGUGGGCGUGCGGGCGAUACGGGCAGACUGGAGUACUGCAGGGGAGACUGGAAUUCCUGGUGUAGCGGUGGAAUGCGCAGAUAUCAGGAGGAACACCGGUGGCGAAGGCGGGUCUCUGGGCAGUAACUGACGCUGAGGAGCGAAAGCGUGGGGAGCGAACAGGAUUAGAUACCCUGGUAGUCCACGCCGUAAACGGUGGGUACUAGGUGUGGGUUUCCUUCCUUGGGAUCCGUGCCGUAGCUAACGCAUUAAGUACCCCGCCUGGGGAGUACGG